rnacentral:rRNA from 1 species
UACGUAGGUGGCAAGCGUUGUCCGGAUUUACUGGGCGUAAAGAGCGCGCAGGCGGUCGUUCAAGUCGCGUGUGAAAGCCCCCGGCUCAACUGGGGAGGGUCACGCGAUACUGAUCGACUCGAAGGCAGGAGAGGGUAGUGGAAUUCCCGGUGUAGUGGUGAAAUGCGUAGAUAUCGGGAGGAACAUCGAUGGCGAAAGCAACCGCCUGGGCCUGAACUGACACUGAGACACGAAAGCGUGGGGAGCAAACAGG